rnacentral:rRNA from 1 species
UGAGGAAUAUUGGUCAAUGGUCGAGAGACUGAACCAGCCAAGUCGCGUGAAGGAUGACUGCCCUAUGGGUUGUAAACUUCUUUUACAAGGGAAUAAAAUGAGAUACGUGUAUUUUAUUGCAUGUACCUUGUGAAUAAGCAUCGGCUAACUCCGUGCCAGCAGCCGCGGUAAUACGGAGGAUGCGAGCGUUAUCCGGAUGUAUUGGGUUUAAAGGGUGCGUAGGUGGGCUGUUAAGUCAGCGGUGAAAGUUUGUCGCUUAACGAUAAAAUUGCCGUUGAAACUGGUAGUCUUGAGUAUAGAUGAAGUAGGCGGAAUGCGUGGUGUAGCGGUGAAAUGCAUAGAGAUCACGCAGAACUCCGAUUGCGAAGGCAGCUUACUAAGGUAUAACUGACACUGAAGCACGAAAGCGUGGGUAUCAAACAGG